CGACACACCAAUGUACAGAGAGAGAACAGAAACCAGAGCGAUGCUUCCACCAGCUGGCACUACAAAAACCAAGCUUUUCUCAUAGGAGAUGCUCAAAUAUGGAAACGGGGAUGAACAAUGGAUACAGGAAAGGAAUAUGGGAUCCAAUUCAUUCCUUGGAGAAACAGUCCAAGUCUGCCUUGUUCUCACAAUAUAAAGAAAAUGAAGCCCAAAGAAGCAAAAUGACUGGCCCAAGUUUACACAGGCAGUGUCAGCCCCAGAAUCCAAACUAAGGUCUUCCAACUCCAAAUUCAGCAUUCUUUCCAUUG